AAGGGCAUAUAAGCCUCAACUUAUUUGGUCAACUAGCAUGGUAAUAGCCAUUUGCGGCUCUUGCGACAUGAUUUGCACGAACUUACAAGUCCUAUGAUUUGCAAUCUAGAAUGCUACUACUAGAUCAUUGGAAGUGUAUGAGUGGACCCAUGUGCGCAUGAAUCGAUCGGAAUGGAAGGCAUUCGAGAUUUGACUUAGCACCAAGCUUCACCCAAUUUCUAACCCCACUGUUACUGCUCUCGACAUCCAUUAUCAACAAGGGUCACGUUGAUAGGGAAAUCUGUCGCGGAGAGAAAUCAAUGGGAGAAGAUGAGUUGCUUCGGGCUGGAAUCCACCAGCUGCACCCCGACGGUGAGUGAGGCUACGUCAUGCCAUGCUGGCGGUCAUCCAUGAAGAGAUGGGUAAAGGUUACCAGAGUAGAGCUGGGAUACUUUUCAUUCUUGGAAAAGAAUUUAUGAGCAGCAC
rnacentral:lncRNA from 1 species